rnacentral:tRNA from 1 species
CCUUCGAUAGCUCAGUUGGUAGAGCGGUGGACUGUAGAGAGCGCUGCGAGCGAUACACAUAGAUAUCCAUAGGUCGCUGGUUCAAAUCCGGCUCGAAGGA